rnacentral:tRNA from 1 species
GGGGAUUUAGCUCAGUGGCAUAAGCACCUGCCUGGCAAGUGCGUGGUCAUGAGUUCAACCUCAAUACCCCCA